CUGCGAAUGGCUCAUUAAAUCAGUUAUCGUUUAUUUGAUAGUACCUUACUACUUGGAUAACCGUGGUAAUUCUAGAGCUAAUACAUGCUAAAAACCCCAACUUCGGGAGGGGUGUAUUUAUUAGAUAAAAAACCAAUGCCCUUCGGGGCUCUUUGGUGAUUCAUGAUAACUUAACGGAUCGCAUGGCCUUGCGCCGGCGACGGUUCAUUCAAAUUUCUGCCCUAUCAACUUUCGAUGGUAAGGUAUUGGCUUACCAUGGUUUCAACGGGUAACGGGGAAUUAGGGUUCGAUUCCGGAGAGGGAGCCUGAGAAACGGCUACCACAUCCAAGGAAGGCAGCAGGCGCGCAAAUUACCCAAUCCCGACUCGGGGAGGUAGUGACAAUAAAUACUGAUACAGGGCUCUUUUGGGUCUUGUAAUCGGAAUGAGUACAAUUUAAACCCCUUAACGAGGAACAAUUGGAGGGCAAGUCUGGUGCCAGCAGCCGCGGUAAUUCCAGCUCCAAUAGCGUAUAUUAAAGUUGUUGCAGUUAAAAAGCUCGUAGUUGAACCUUGGGCCUGGCUGGCCGGUCCGCCUCACCGCGUGUACUGGUCCGGCCGGGCCUUUCCUUCUGGAGAGCCGCAUGCCCUUUACUGGGUGUGUCGGGGAACCAGGACUUUUACUUUGAAAAAAUUAGAGUGUUCAAAGCAGGCCUUUGCUCGAAUACGUUAGCAUGGAAUAAUAGAAUAGGAUGUGCGGUCCUAUUUUGUUGGUUUCUAGGACCGCCGUAAUGAUUAAUAGGGAUAGUCGGGGGCAUCAGUAUUCAAUUGUCAGAGGUGAAAUUCUUGGAUUUAUUGAAGACUAACUACUGCGAAAGCAUUUGCCAAGGAUGUUUUCAUUAAUCAGUGAACGAAAGUUAGGGGAUCGAAGACGAUCAGAUACCGUCGUAGUCUUAACCGUAAACUAUGCCGACUAGGGAUCGGGCGAUGUU
rnacentral:rRNA from 1 species